UGGUUCUGGCAUCGAUGAAGAACGCAGCGAAAUGCGAUAAGUAAUGUGAAUUGCAGAAUUCAGUGAAUCAUCGAAUCUUUGAACGCACAUUGCGCCCGCUAGUAUUCUAACGGGCAUGCCUGUUCGAGCGUCAUUUCAACCCUCAAGCCCCCGUUUGGGGGCCUGGUGUUGGGGGACGGGCCCUCCUGGAGCCGCCCCCGAAAUCUAGUGGCGGUCUCGCCGUUUGCCUCCUCUGCGUAGUAGAAACACCUCGCACUGGGACGCGGCGCGGCCAUGCCGUAAAACCAAAUACUUCUGAAGGUUGACCUCGGAUCAGGUAGGAAUACCCGCUGA
rnacentral:misc_RNA from 1 species